GUUGUUUCUAUAUCUGUGUGUGUUUUCCAGGUGGGUCGGUCUCAGAUCUUCCUGGUCAGUCCAGACACUAAGAAGGUUGCCAUAGAGAAGAGCUUCAGAGAAAUAUCUUUCUGCUCACAGGGUAUUCAUCAUGUGGAUCACUUUGGGUUCAUCUGUAGAGAGACAGUAGAAGGAGGGAGCUGUACGUUCGUCUGCUAUGUCUUCCAGUGUACUGAUGAAUCCCUGGUGGAUGAGAUCAUGUUGACUUUAAAGCAGGCGUUCUCUGUGGCCGCCCUGCAGCAGAGUGUAAGGACCAGGAGCCAGCAGUGUGACAGUUGCCCCAUGCAGCAGCUGCACAGGCUGUGUGAGAGGAUAGAAGGUCUCCUCCCGUCUAAAGCCAAGCUGGAGUUUCAGAAACAUCUGGCCACACUGGACAACCAGGAACAAGCUGCCGUGUUCGAGAACACUGUGAGGGCCAGUCCUAAGAGUGACCAGGAGGAGAAUGAGCUGGUGAUGGGGUCUUUGAGGAGUCUGUAUGAACAGAAACAGAGGAGUCAUCAACACACAGAUCACAGACCGGUACAAUA